UACACUCCUCCGGGAGGCAGCAGUGGGGAAUUUUGGACAAUGGGCGAAAGCCUGAUCCAGCAAUGCCGCGUGAGUGAAGAAGGCCUUCGGGUUGUAAAGCUCUUUUGUCAGGGAAGAAACGGUGAAAGCUAAUAUCUUUUGCUAAUGACGGUACCUGAAGAAUAAGCACCGGCUAACUACGUGCCAGCAGCCGCGGUAAUACGUAGGGUGCAAGCGUUAAUCGGAAUUACUGGGCGUAAAGCGUGCGCAGGCGGUUUUGUAAGUCUGAUGUGAAAUCCCCGGGCUCAACCUGGGAAUUGCAUUGGAGACUGCAAGGCUAGAAUCUGGCAGAGGGGGGUAGAAUUCCACGUGUAGCAGUGAAAUGCGUAGAUAUGUGGAGGAACACCGAUGGCGAAGGCAGCCCCUUGGGUCAAGAUUGACGCUCAUGCACGAAAGCGUGGGGAGCAAACAGGAUUAGAAACCCUAGUAGUCCC
rnacentral:rRNA from 1 species